rfam:Metagenome sequence AHAA12893.x1, whole genome shotgun sequence.
GUGUCCCUCCUAGGGGAGGGACAGAGUUCUUGCUUGCAAGAGCUCAGGGUGAGGGC